UGACCUAAACCCUCACCAGAGUAACAAUUGGAGGGCAAGUCUGGUGCCAGCAGCCGCGGUAAUUCCAGCUCCAAUAGCGUAUAUUAAACUUGUUGCAGUUAAAAAGCUCGUAGUUGAAUUUCUGCGUUAUCGAGUUAUUGACUCUUGUCUUCAAUCGAUUUCGCUUUUGGGAUUUAUCCCUUUUUACUUUGAGAAAAUUAGAGUGUUUCAAGCAGACUUUUGUCUUGAAUACUUCAGCAUGGAAUAAUAGAGUAGGACUUUGGUUCUAUUUUGUUGGUUUUUGAACCUUAGUAAUGGUUAAUAGGAACGGUUGGGGGCAUUCGUAUUUAACUGUCAGAGGUGAAAUUCUUAGAUUUGUUAAAGACGAACUACUGCGAAAGCAUUUGCCAAGGACGUUUCCAUUAAUCAAGAACGAAAGUUAGGGG
rnacentral:rRNA from 1 species